AUUUACAACAUAUAUUUAGUUUUAGUAAACAUAAAAAAAUAAUAUGUAUAAAAUUCACAUUCUCAUUAUUUUAAUGCAAUAAAUAAAUAAUAAUUUAAUAUAUAUAUAUAUAUAUAUAUAUAUAUAUAUAUAUAUAUAUAUACACACACACUGAUGUUUUAAACCAAAAGAGUCUUUUAAAAUCCAAAAAUGAUUUCCCCAGAAUAUUUCAGCCUUUUAAAUAUUUUUUCCUUUACUUCUGGUAUCAUGGUUCUGUAUGAAUUGCUUUUGAAUAUAUUUUUAACUUGACAGAUUUGUACGGCAAAGAGGGAACUACAAAUCCAAAUACAUACGACUUUUAACAGAUGCAGAGAAACAGAAGUUCAGAAGUGCUGGAAAAUGUCAGAAGUGGCCGAGACUCAUAAAUAUUAGUCACAGGCCAGCAACUUUCACUUCAGCGCGAGAGAGACAGAUUUAAUUAAUCACAAAGCCUAUCUCUGCCCUCAAUAACAAAACUUUAACUUCUUCCAUUAAACUGCUGUCUCACUCUGGAGUGUUUUCCUGUCAUAUCCGCUCAGAUAAGCCCCUGCGUGUGUGUGUGUGUGUGUGUGUUUCUCUCCAGCACAAGAUCAGGUUUAUUAGCGGCGCUCCAGAGAUCUCCUGUAUCUUAUAUUGCAGUGGAAACGCACCUGCUCAUGGAUUUUAUCGGUGAGUUUGGAAGCCGCGCGACACUAAAUUCAUCCACAGAGGCGGAAAGUGAAGAAACCGCAGCCAGAGCAGGCAUGGAGCUGCAGAGAUGUCAUUUCUCCAACAAACAGACCCAGAACAAACGCAGUCAUUUAGAAUCAGACAGUCGUGUUAGAAAUUAAUAUCAUGUCACUCAAAACCCGUAUGACUUACUUUUUCCCGUAGAACACAAAAGGAGACGUUCAGCAGAAUGUUCAUGCUGCUCUUUUCCAUUCAAAACAUAUCUAAUAUAGUCUAAAAUAUUUGCUUAUUGACAGUCAAAUAAAAAAAUAAAAAAUAAUAGUUGCAGUUGAUUUUACCUUCAUUGGAAGGUAAACUCAAA
rnacentral:lncRNA from 1 species